AGCAUAGUGGUCUAGCGGUUAGAACGCUGGCCUUGUAAUCCUGAGUUCCGGGUUAGAUUCCCGGAGGUGCUC
rnacentral:tRNA from 1 species